AUUGAACGCUGGCGGCAUGCUUUACACAUGCAAGUCGAACGGUAACAGGCCGCAAGGUGCUGACGAGUGGCGAACGGGUGAGUAAUGCAUCGGAACGUGCCCAGUCGUGGGGGAUAACGCAGCGAAAGCUGUGCUAAUACCGCAUACGAUCUAUGGAUGAAAGCGGGGGACCGUAAGGCCUCGCGCGAUUGGAGCGGCCGAUGUCAGAUUAGGUAGGUGGUGGGGUAAAGGCUCACCAAGCCAACGAUCUGUAGCUGGUCUGAGAGGACGACAAGCCACACUGGGACUGAGACACGGCCCAGACUCCUACGGGAGGCAGCAGUGGGGAAUUUUGGACAAUGGGCGCAAGCCUGAUCCAGCAAUGCUGCGUGCAGGAAGAAGGCCUUCGGGUUGUAAACUGCUUUUGUACGGAACGAAAAGGUUUGGGUUAAUACCCUGGGCCGAUGACGGUACCGUAAGAAUAAGCACCGGCUAACUACGUGCCAGCCGCCGCCGUAA
rnacentral:rRNA from 1 species